rnacentral:rRNA from 1 species
AUGAACGCUGGCGGCGUGCCUAAUACAUGCAAGUCGAGCGCACAGACGAGGAGCUUGCUCCUCUGACGUUAGCGGCGGACGGGUGAGUAACACGUGGAUAACCUACCUAUAAGACUGGGAUAACUUCGGGAAACCGGAGCUAAUACCGGAUAAUAUAUUGAACCGCAUGGUUCAAUAGUGAAAGACGGUUUUGCUGUCACUUAUAGAUGGAUCCGCGCCGCAUUAGCUAGUUGGUAAGGUAACGGCUUACCAAGGCGACGAUGCGUAGCCGACCUGAGAGGGUGAUCGGCCACACUGGAACUGAGACACGGUCCAGACUCCUACGGGAGGCAGCAGUAGGGAGUCUUCCGCAAUGGGCGAAAGCCUGACGGAGCAACGCCGCGUGAGUGAUGAAGGUCUUCGGAUCGUAAAACUCUGUUAUUAGGGAAGAACAAAUGUGUAAGUAACUAUGCACGUCUUGACGGUACCUAAUCAGAAAGCCACGGCUAACUACGUG